rnacentral:rRNA from 1 species
UAUUGCACAAUGGGGGAAACCCUGAUGCAGCGACGCCGCGUGAAGGAAGAAGUAUCUCGGUAUGUAAACUUCUAUCAGCAGGGAAGAAAAUGACGGUACCUGACUAAGUAGCCCCGGCCAACUACCUUCCAGCUGCCGCUGUAAUAAGUAGGGGGCAAGCGUUAUUCGGAUUUACUGGGUGUAAAGGGAGCGUAGACGGAAGAGCAAGUCUGAUGUGAAAGGCUGGGGCUUAACCCCAGGACUGCAUUGGAAACUGUUGUUCUAGAGUGCCGGAGAGGUAAGCGGAAUUCCUAGUGUAGCGGUGAAAUGCGUAGAUAUUAGGAGGAACACCAGUGGCGAAGGCGGCUUACUGGACGGUAACUGACGUUGAGGCUCGAAAGCGUGGGGAGCAAACA